AAAAAGGCCACUCAGACUACUCUGCAUUCUCCAACUGAUUGAGUUGAGUGAAAGAUUUCCAGGGCUAUCCAUCAGUCUGGACGAUGCCAAAAUCUAUGUGGCUCUCCCAGAUAAUGACUUGGGGAAUGGUCAAGCUGGGCCUAUAAAUGGGAAGAGAAUUUUUGUGUGGGGCCAGUCUUAGAGGCCGGAGAUAUCACCUGCAGGGAGCAUACACGGCUUAUUAAAGGAAGCUCGAUAUGAUCAGCAUUCUGAAAACCGAGCCUGGGACAGAGAAACAUAUACAGAUGUAGAUGUGAAGACCUCAGUGAAACAUUGUAUGGACAGUUAAGAUACGGUUCAGGGAUGAGUGUAAUAAAGUAAACUGACUUGUGCAUUGUUAGCAUAAAGGAGCUAUAUGUAAGCCUUGGCCACCUGUCAAAUUCAUGCUCCAAACAUAUCGGGACCAGCCCCUCAGUUCAUCCUGUGUCUGAAAUGAGCCAUCUCUUUAUGUGACUGGACAGUGUAGAGAGACGGGAAAGGAAGGCAGAGAGAGAGGGGAUGACAUGCAGCAAAGGAACUCGUCCCAGAUUCGAACCCGGCCCGCUGCGGUAAGGAUCUGCUUUGAUAUACUGUACGUGCUAUACUUGGACAACUCUCCACCUGCUAAGAGUGAAAGACAUAACACAGAAUGGAAAGCCAAAAUGCCAGCUGUGACCCUAUAGGGCUGUCUAAUGUUUAUCCCUGCCCAGUGCCCGUCAGCUGUCCAGUCGGUUCGGAUGAACACGGUUAACAAGCACCUGUGUGUUUACUCCUCACCUCAUCAACAGGGAGAAAGAAAUGGUAGAAAACAAGGGCAGAUGGGAAUCGGCUAGCUAGCUAGCGAAGACUCUCGGGGAGAUCUCAGCAGUGUUCGAUCAGGCUUUCUCUCAGUAAACAGCCUGGGAUAUUGACUAUUCUUGCUCGGGUAUUCAUCUGUGAUCAUUUCUCUCAUUUUGAUAUUGAUUGAAAUGCAAGCACACACACGUAAUAGUUCCAGUGUGAACUUUGAUGCACAUAAAUAAGUCAGUGAGCCUUUUUUAUACUUGACUUCCCCUGAGCAGGCAAUAAAAUCAGCAAGGAUUGCAAAGAAUCUUGUUAGCGAGUUAGGAAUAAUUUUAUUUCCUCAGAUCACAGCAAACAUUAGAGCUCC
rnacentral:lncRNA from 1 species